rnacentral:lncRNA from 1 species
CAGAAUGAUCAAGGUCAUCACGGAGUCCCUCAGGCAGCCAGGUGUUGCCAGACCAGGUCCUCGAGGGUGGGUGACAGCCUCGAUGAGCAGAGCCAAGCUGAGUCCCGAGGGGAUCAGGGCUAGAUCUGAGCCUGCAAAUGACCUCUUUCCUGGUGGCUGGUGAGGAAGUAGGGCAAGGGUGGGAUGUCCCCGCCCUCAGCUCCAAGGGACCCCAUCUCUACUGGAAGGGUACUCUAGGCUGAGGCAGGAGGUUACUACAUUUCAUUCUGUGGAUGUGGAUGAUGAGCUGGGACAGAUGCUGGAAGUGGCCCUUUGGCCUUUCUGAUGGCAGGAGAGCGUCCACCUACCUCAGCUGCUGCCAAGUGGGGCUUCCUGUUUUCUUUCUCUGCCUCGUCCCUGCCCACUUCCUUCUGAUGUUUGAAAACCCCUCUGACCAUGCCCAGCAAGGACGGUAUCCGAGUCCUGACAAGCACUUCCUGCAAGGGUGUACCGCGAGCUUUUUCGUCCCAUUCUUGAGAUGCUGGUGGUACAGGACCAGCAUUGUUCUUAGGAACGUAAAGGAGAGGAUGUGUCUGACAGUGGGAUCCUUGCAUGAGCUUGAGUUUCAGUCUCACUUUUUAAAAACUAAUUUAUUGGGGCUGGGGAUUUAGCUCAGUGGUAGAGCGCUUACCUAGGAAGCACAAGGCCCCGGGUUCGGUCCCCAGCUCCGAAAAAAAAAAGAACCAAAAAAAAAAAAAAA